UCUGUUUUAUAUAGCUUGUUUUUAUGAAUGUACUAGUUUCAACAUAAUUUAUAAAUUCUUCAGUGGAUUACAAUGCUAGAUGGGGUUGCAGAAAAGGGUCUCCUCAUAUAACGUUUUUAAAGAAUAUACUAAUUUCACAACAUUAAUCCCCUUGCAAAUUAUUACACUGAAUGACCAAAGAUUUAUUGUUACAAAAUGGUUCUGAUGAAAAUAUGUUCUACGUGAUCACUGUUUGGUUCAUUCAGAACUUUCCAAACAGUUUGAUUAAAGUGUGGAUUAAUAACCUACCUGUUUAUCAAUCUUGUACAUUUGUCCUUAUCAAGUGAAUACUAUUUGUUGCUUUCAAUAUAUAUGAUGCGUUUAUAUGCUGUGUGAACAAAUAUUGAGCCCUGGCUGCGCCGAUGGGGAUGUUGAGGAAUAUGUUAACACUGUCUUAGUGCUUUGAACCAAAAAUGCAGUUCAGAGGAACAUAUUUUGUAAAUCUUAUUAAAUCAAUGCAGACUGUUAUUAAAUGUAAACAUUGUAUUUGUCUUCAAAUGUAUAUUUUUCCACAUUCUUCAUUGAUGAUUGACUAUUGAAUGGUUAUAUGUUGACAGAGAGGUGGUCAACUUGUAUUAGCAUAUUUCAAGGGAGGUGGGUGGUUUGUGGACGUUGCCGGCUAGCACCCUGAUAUGUUGUAGAUAUUGUACUAUACCAAAGAGAUUAGGAGGAAGCUUUGAAAUAUGCUUGUACUGUGUUGGGAUUGUGUGACUGAAGAGGUCAAGGUAUGUUUAAUGAUGUCACAUCUGAGGUCAUCACAUCUGAGGUUAUCAUAUCUGAUGUUGUGACAUCACAGUUCAGAUGACAUCCUAACAAUGAGUAAGAAAUCACAAUCUGUGUACCAUGACAGUUUGACAUUAUGUUACGUAUGUCAUCUUUGACAUUACAAUCUGUAUGACACUCCAGUCCCUGCAUUAGGAUAUGUAUAAUGUCUUGUAUGACAUCAAGGUCAUUUACACAAUAUCAUGUGACAUCAGAUAUCACAGUCUGUAUGACAUCAAGGUAUGUGUAAUGUGAUGUGUGAUAUCACUCUGUAUACCAUAAGGUAUAAAAAUGUCAUGUGAUGUGAUAUCACUCCAUAUAUCUUAAGGUAUAUAUAGUGUCAUGUGACAUCUGAUAUCACACUCUGUAUGACAUUAAAGUAUGUGUAAUGUGAUGUGUGAUAUCACUCUGUAUACCAUAAGAUAUAAAAAGGUCAUGUGAUGUGUGAUAUCACUCCAUAUAUCUUAAGGUAUAAAUAGUGUCAUGUGACAUCUGAUAUCACAGUCUGUAUGACAUCAAGGUAUAUAAUUGUCAUGUGAUGUGUGAUAUCACUGUAUAUCAUAAGGUAUAUGUAAUGUCAUGUGACACCUGAUAUCAGAGUCUGUAUGACAUGAAGGUAUGUGUAAUGUGAUGUGUGGUGUCUCUGUAUGAUAUCAAGGCAUAUAUAAUGUCAUGUGAUGUGUGAUAUCCUUCGUAUGCCAUAAAGUAAAAUUUGUGUCAUGUGGCAUCUGAUAUCACAGUCUGCAUGACAUCAAAGCAUGUGUAAUAUGAUGUGAAAUUUGAUAUCAAUCAGUAUGAACAGUCCAAUGACGUCAUCCAUACCAUGAUGUCACAAUCUGUAUGACAUCACAGGCCGUAUGACAUCAAGACUUGUAUCAUGUCACAUGUGAGAUGUCAUUGUCUAUAUUUCAACAGGUAUGAUAUCUGACCAAUUUAGACCUCACCUGAAUUGCGCUAUUUUUGUGAAGAUUGUGAAAAUUGGUCAAAUAUUUGAUGACUGUAUUGCACAAAUGAAAACCACACUAUGAAACAAGUUGCACAUGAACCCUUAUUUGCUUUAUGUACUAGAAAGGCUGAUUUGCAAUGAUUUAUUCUUGAAGAUUCAAUAUACACCCAAUAUUGUCUUUGUGUUCUUUGCUAUGAAAACUAAGGUAAAAUUUCCAGGCAGUGCCAUAUUAUGUUUUCAUUUAAUCUUUGAUGUUAGUGGAAUUUUUUGGAAAAGAUGGUGGUCAAAUCCAUGCAUUGAUUAUAGUAGUUUUUAAUAAGUGAAAAUAAAUUUCAAGUUUUCUC